AGGUCCCAAGGGUUUGGCUGUUCGCCAAUUAAAGCGGUACGUGAGCUGGGUUUAGAACGUCGUGAGACAGUUCGGUCCCUAUCUGCUGUGGGCGUAGGAGAUUUGAGGAGAGCUGCUCCUAGUACGAGAGGACCGGAGUGGACGAACCCCUGGUGUUCCAGUUGUCGCGCCAGCGGCAUCGCUGGGUAGCUAUGUUCGGCAGGGAUAACCGCUGAAAGCAUCUAAGCGGGAAGCCCCCUCCAAGAUAAGAUCUCCCUCCUCUUCGGAGGCUAAAGGGCCCUUGAAGACUACAAGGUUGAUAGGCCGGGAGUGUACGCAUAGUGAUAUGUUUAGCUGACCGGUACUAAUCGCCCGUGAGGCUUGGUCAC
rnacentral:rRNA from 1 species